UACACUCACUACUGUAAGUCACUCUGGAUAAGAGCGUCUGCUAAAUGACUAAAA
rfam:Salmo salar isolate Sally breed double haploid chromosome ssa18, whole genome shotgun sequence.